rnacentral:rRNA from 1 species
UACGUAGGGUGCAAGCGUUAAUCGGAAUUACUGGGCGUAAAGCGUGCGCAGGCGGUUCGCUAAGACAGAUGUGAAAUCCCCGGGCUUAACCUGGGAACUGCAUUUGUGACUGGCGGGCUAGAGUAUGGCAGAGGGGGGUAGAAUGCCGCGUGUAGCAGUGAAAUGCGUAGAGAUGCGGCGGAACACCGAUGGCGAAGGCAGCCCCCUGGGCUGAGAUUGACGCUCAGGCACGAAAGCGUGGGGAGCAAACAGG